rnacentral:rRNA from 1 species
AUGGUUAAGUUAGAAAGGGCGCACGGUGAAUGCCUUGGCACUAGGAGCCGAUGAAGGACGGGACUAACACCGAUAUGCUUCGGGGAGCUGUAAGUGAGCUUUGAUCCGGAGAUUUCCGAAUGGGGAAACCCACUGUUCGUAAUGGAACAGUAUCUUUAUCUGAAUACAUAGGAUAUUGAAGGCAGACCCGGGGAACUGAAACAUCUAAGUACCCGGAGGAAGAGAAAGCAAAUGCGAUUUCCUGAGUAGCGGCGAGCGAAACGGAAUUAGCCCAAACCAAGAGGCUUGCCUCUUGGGGUUGUAGGACACUCUAUAUGGAGUUACAAAGGAACGAAGUAAAUGAAGCGACCUGGAAAGGUCCGUCGAAGAAGGUAACAACCCUGUAGUUGAAACUUCGUUCCCUCUUGAGUGGAUCCUGAGUACGGCGGAACACGUGAAAUUCCGUCGGAAGCUGGGAGGACCAUCUCCCAAGGCUAAAUACUACCUAGUGACCGAUAGUGAACCAGUACCGUGAGGGAAAGGUGAAAAGCACCCCGGAAGGGGAGUGAAAGAGAUCCUGAAACCGUGUGCCUACAAGUAGUCAGAGCCCGUUAACGGGUGAUGGCGUGCCUUUUGUAGAAUGAACCGGCGAGUUACGAUCCCAUGCAAGGUUAAGCUGAUAAGGCGGAGCCGUAGCGAAAGCGAGUCUGAAUAGGGCGUUUAGUAUGUGGUUGUAGACCCGAAACCAGGUGAUCUACCCAUGUCCAGGGUGAAGUUCAGGUAACACUGAAUGGAGGCCCGAACCCACGCACGUUGAAAAGUGCGGGGAUGAGGUGUGGGUAGCGGAGAAAUUCCAAUCGAACCUGGAGAUAGCUGGUUCUCUCCGAAAUAGCUUUAGGGCUAGCCUCAUGUUGUGAGAGUCUUGGAGGUAGAGCACUGAUUGGACUAGGGGCCCCCAACGGGUUACCGAAUUCAGUCAAACUCCGAAUGCCAAAGACUUAUCCAUGGGAGUCAGACUGCGAGUGAUAAGAUCCGUAGUCAAAAGGGAAACAGCCCAGACCACCAGCUAAGGUCCCCAAGUAUACGUUAAGUGGAAAAGGAUGUGGAGUUGCUUAGACAACCAGGAUGUUGGCUUAGAAGCAGCCACCAUUUAAAGAGUGCGUAAUAGCUCACUGGUCGAGUGACUCUGCGCCGAAAAUGUACCGGGGCUAAACGUAUCACCGAAGCUGUGGAUUGACAUCUUUGAUGUCAGUGGUAGGAGAGCGUUCUAAGUGCUGUGAAGUCAGACCGUAAGGACUGGUGGAGCGCUUAGAAGUGAGAAUGCCGGUAUGAGUAGCGAAAGACAAGUGAGAAUCUUGUCCACCGAAUGCCUAAGGUUUCCUGAGGAAGGCUCGUCCGCUCAGGGUUAGUCGGGACCUAAGCCGAGGCUGAAAAGCGUAGGCGAUGGCCAACAGGUUGAUAUUCCUGUACCACCUCCCCGCCGUUUGAGUAAUGGGGGGACGCAGUAGGAUAGGGUAAGCGCGCUGCUGGAUAUGCGCGUUCAAGCAGUUAGGCUGAUGAGUAGGCAAAUCCGCUCAUCAUAAAGGCUGAGCUGUGAUGACGAGGGAAUUAUAGUACCGAAGUUCCUGAUUCCACACUGCCAAGAAAAGCCUCUAGCGAGGCGGGAGGUGCCCGUACCGCAAACCGACACAGGUAGGCGAGGAGAGAAUCCUAAGGUGAUCGAGAGAACUCUCGUUAAGGAACUCGGCAAAAUGACCCCGUAACUUCGGGAGAAGGGGUGCUCUGGUAGGGUGUAUAGCCCGAGAGAGCCGCAGUGAAUAGGCCCAGGCGACUGUUUAGCAAAAACACAGGUCUCUGCGAAGCCGCAAGGCGAAGUAUAGGGGCUGACGCCUGCCCGGUGCUGGAAGGUUAAGAGGAGGGGUUAUCCUUUGGGAGAAGCUCUGAAUCGAAGCCCCAGUAAACGGCGGCCGUAACUAUAACGGUCCUAAGGUAGCGAAAUUCCUUGUCGGGUAAGUUCCGACCCGCACGAAAGGCGUAACGAUCUGGGCACUGUCUCAACGAGAGACUCGGUGAAAUUAUAGUACCUGUGAAGAUGCAGGUUACCCGCGACAGGACGGAAAGACCCCGUGGAGCUUUACUGUAGCCUGAUAUUGAAUUUUGGUACAGCUUGUACAGGAUAGGUAGGAGCCUGAGAAGCCGGAGCGCUAGCUUCGGUGGAGGCGUCGGUGGGAUACUACCCUGGCUGUAUUGAAAUUCUAACCCGCGGCCCUGAUCGGGCCGGGAGACAGUGUCAGGUGGGCAGUUUGACUGGGGCGGUCGCCUCCUAAAAUGUAACGGAGGCGCCCAAAGGUUCCCUCAGAAUGGUUGGAAAUCAUUCGUAGAGUGUAAAGGCACAAGGGAGCUUGACUGCGAGACCUACAAGUCGAGCAGGGACGAAAGUCGGGCUUAGUGAUCCGGUGGUUCCGCAUGGAAGGGCCAUCGCUCAACGGAUAAAAGCUACCCCGGGGAUAACAGGCUUAUCUCCCCCAAGAGUCCACAUCGACGGGGAGGUUUGGCACCUCGAUGUCGGCUCAUCGCAUCCUGGGGCUGUAGUCGGUCCCAAGGGUUGGGCUGUUCGCCCAUUAAAGCGGUACGCGAGCUGGGUUCAGAACGUCGUGAGACAGUUCGGUCCCUAUCCGUCGUGGGCGUAGGAAAUUUGAGAGGAGCUGUCCUUAGUACGAGAGGACCGGGAUGGACACACCGCUGGUGUACCAGUUGUCUUGCCAAAGGCAUCGCUGGGUAGCUAUGUGUGGACGGGAUAAGUGCUGAAAGCAUCUAAGCAUGAAGCCCCCCUCAAGAUGAGAUUUCCCAUAGCGCAAGCUAGUAAGAUCCCUGAAAGAUGAUCAGGUUGAUAGGUCAGAGGUGGAAGCGUGGCGACAUGUGUAGCUGACUGAUACUAAUCGAUCGAGGACUUAACCAAA